GGUCGCGUCGUCUAGCGGUUAGGACAUAGGAUUUUGACUAAAUCCAAGAUUUCCUGGAGCCUGGGUUCGAUUCCCAGCGUGACCU
rnacentral:tRNA from 1 species